ensembl:snRNA U1 U1 spliceosomal RNA
GGUCUUACCUGGCAGGUAAUCAAGAUGGCGGUUCACCCAGGGCGAGGCUCAGCCAUUGCACUCCGGCUGUGCUGACCCCUGCGAAUUCCCCAAAUGUGAGAAUCUCGACUGCAUAAUUUCUGGUAGUGGGGGACCAGAAGGAGCCGCCA